CUUUGGCGAAAAACAAACACAGCACAUCAGCACAAACGCAAAUCUACAACAGCAAUGGCUGAAAAAGAAAAGAAUCAAGGCGUUUCAACGGCCCAGCCAAAGUCCAGCCCUCAAACCUAAAUGAAAUGCUGUGGGAAAACCUUAAGAGACCUGUGCAUAAAGAAAUGCCAGUAAGCCUCAAUGAACUGAAGCAACAUUGUAAAUAAGAGUGGGACAAAAUUCCUCCACAACGAUGUGAGAGACUGAUAAAGUUAUACAGAAAAUGAUAUCUUCAAGUUAUUGCUGCUAAAGGUGGUUCCAUAAGC